UGUCACAACAAGUUUCAACCAGCCUGUUGUUGGGAUACAAACCGAAAAUGUGAGUAAAGAGAUAUAAAAUCGCACGAAAUGGAUACUUCCGGCUUCACUUUCUCAUUUAAUCAUUGUCAUUGGUGGCAAUAUUAAAUCACAUAGGAGAGAUUAUAGUCCAUAGUAUCUAUUCUCUGUUUAUUAUAAAAUGUAAAAGCCGCUGUUUUAUUUUUUUUAAAAAAGUUCCGAUUUCCAAAAUCCAAAUUCCAAUUUGCUGACGUGUGCUAUCGCUAUAUUUCAUUAAUCUGAUUGGAUAAACGCGUGUGCACACGUCAUCAUUCCUCGUUGCAAUUGGGCGAAAUAUUACAAACAUAUCAAUCACGUAAUCAUGUUUAGUUGUUUUUCAAUUUUGACUGUGAUUUUGAGCCAAACAAAAUUUCAACAACUGCCUCAAACAAAAUCAAACGAGUUCAAAGCUGUUUUGAUUUUUGAAGAAACUGUGGCAAUGAGAAUACAAGAUCUACUAGAGCUUAAGAAAUGAACAAUACAUGAACAACCGAGUGUUAACUGCAACGUUCGUCAUUGUUGAUAUGAACAUGAAAUUCGUUAUAUAAUUUCUUUCCAAUUUCAAGUGAAAUCUGCGAGCGAGGAAGACGCCUUAUUGAAGCUUUGUGUUAUGGUAUGUACUGUUUUGAAGAAAAAUAUGCAAGUAGGUUGUCAUAUUUCGGUCGUACUUAAAGACAAUUAAUUUUGAAAAUUGUUUACGAUAAGAACCUUUCUUGAAUUUGUCGUAUUUUUUCGGCUGUUUUGCUCAAAAAUUAUCUCGCAAGUUUGUUUAUAAAACUUUAUAUUCAUAUAUAAAAAUUAUUUCGCAAGUUUGUUUAUAAAACUUUAUAUUUCAAACUUCUAUUUCACGAAACACUACAACCGAAAUAUGGCAACCUGUUUGGCCGUUUUUUUUUCAAAAUAGUGGAUACACAAGCUUCAUAAGGCGCUUUCCUCGGUUUGCAACAGGUCUGUCGCAAGUUGUUGAAAACAGCAUUGCUGCAGUUCUGUCACAACAGCUUGUAACAGACCUGUUGAAAACAGCAUUGCAGCAGCUCUGUCACAACAGCUUGUAACAGACCUGUUGAAAACAGCAUUGCAGCAGCUCUGUCACAACAGCUUGUAACAGACCUGUUGACAGGCCGUUGCAGGUCUGUCAGAACAGACAGGUACAAGGCGAGCGAACGCAUCCAGAUAUCGGCUUGUUGACAACAGGAUUUAACAGAUCUGUUGCAGAUCUGUUCCGACUUGCGCGUUUCUGGCUGUGUA